CAGGGGAAAUUUCCCAAAAAGAAUGCUAAGGAUGCUGAUACUGGCCGUUUUCGGUAUCAGCAUCCUUAGCAUUCUUUUUGGGAAAUUUCCCC
rnacentral:pre_miRNA from 1 species